UACGGAGGGGGCUAGCGUUGUUCGGAAUUACUGGGCGUAAAGCGCACGUAGGCGGCUUUGUAAGUUAGAGGUGAAAGCCCGGGGCUCAACCCCGGAAAUGCGCCCAAGACUGUUUGGCUCGAGACCCGGAGAGGUGAGUGGAACUCCCAGUGUAGAGGUGAAAUUCGUAGAUAUUGGGAAGAAAACCAGUGGCGAAGGCGGCUCACUGGACGGGUACUGACGCUGAGGCACGAAAGCGUGGGGAGCAAACAGG
rnacentral:rRNA from 1 species